UGACCUCAAAUCAGUA
rnacentral:rRNA from 2 species